rnacentral:tRNA from 1 species
GGGGAUUUAGCUCAGUGGUAGAGCGCUUGCCUACUAAGGCAAGGCCCUGGGUUCAGUCCCCA